rnacentral:rRNA from 1 species
ACGGAAGGCAGCAGUGGGGAAUAUUGGACAAUGGGGGGAACCCUGAUCCAGCGACGCCGCGUGAGUGAAGAAGUAUUUCGGUAUGUAAAGCUCUAUCAGCAGGGAAGAUGAUGACGGUACCUGACUAAGAAGCACCGGCUAAAUACGUGCCAGCAGCCGCGGUAAUACGUAUGGUGCAAGCGUUAUCCGGAUUUACUGGGUGUAAAGGGAGCGUAGGCGGCUAUGCAAGUCAGGUGUGAAAACCCGGGGCUCAACUCCGGGACUGCACUUGAAACUGCGAAGCUCGAGUACGGGAGAGGCAAGUGGAAUUCCUAGUGUAGCGGUGAAAUGCGUAGAUAUUAGGAGGAACACCAGUGGCGAAGGCGGCUUACUGGACUGACACUGACGCUGAAGCACGAAAACGUGGGGAGCAAACAGGAUUAGAUACCCUGGUA